rnacentral:rRNA from 1 species
CCUACGCGUGGCAGCAGUGGGGAAUCUUGGGCAAUGGGCGCAAGCCUGACCCAGCAACGCCGCGUGAAGGAAGAAGUCUUUCGGGUUGUAACCUUCUUUUCUGGGUGACGAACAAAUGACGGUACCCCAGGAAUAAGCCACGGCUAACUAUGUGCCAGCAGCCGCGGUAAUAUGUAGGUGGCAAGCGUUAUCCGGAUUUAUUGGGUGUAAAGGGCGUGUAGGCGGGGAUGCAAGUCGUAUGUGAAAACUCAGGGCUGAACCCUGAGCCUGCAUUUGAAACUGUGUUUAGUGAGUGCUGGAGAGGCAAUCGGAAUUCCGGGUGUAGCGGUGAAAUGCGUAGAUAGACGGAGGAACAACAGUGGCGAAGGGGGAUUGCUGGACAGUAACUGACGCUGAGGCGCGAAAGCGUGGGGAGCAAACAGGAUUAGAUACCCUUGUAGUC